rnacentral:misc_RNA from 1 species
UCCGGCUUAUCACCGGCAGUCCUCCCAGAGUCCUCGGCUUGACCCGGUAGCAACUGGGAGCGGGGGUUGCGCUCGUUGCGGGACUUAACCCAACAUCUCACGACACGAGCUGACGACAGCCAUGCAGCACCUGUCUCGGAGCUCCGAAGAGGGGCGCUGGUUUCUCAGCGCUUUCCCCGAGAUGUCAAGCCCAGGUAAGGUUCUUCGCGUUGCGUCGAAUUAAACCACAUGCUCCACCGCUUGUGCGGGCCCCCGUCAAUUCCUUUGAGUUUCAGCCUUGCGGCCGUACUCCCCAGGCGGGGCACUUAAUGCGUUAGCGCCGGCACCCAGGGGGUCGCUCCCCCAGGCACCUAGUGCCCAUCGUUUACGGCGUGGACUAC